CGCGGGAUUUGGCACGGGGAGACGGGGCGCCGCAGGCGCGAAAACUUUGCAAUACACGAAAGUGUGACAGGGCUAUCCCGAGUGCCAUCCGCUGAGGAAGGCUUUUACCCAGUUUAGAACGCUGGGAGAAUAAGGAGAGGGCAAGACUGGUGUCAGCCGCCGCGGUAAUACCAGCUCUCCGAGUGGUGUGGAUGUUUAUUGGGCCUAAAGCAUCCGUAGCUGGCUGGACAAGUCCCCUGUUAAAUCCACCGAUUUAAUCGUUGGAGUGCGGGGGAUACUGUUCGGCUAGGGGACGGGAGAGGCAGACGGUAUUUUCGGGGUAGGGGUGAAAUCCUAUAAUCCCGGGAAGACCACCAGUGGCGAAGGCUGUCUGCUAGAACGCGCCCGACGGUGAGGGAUGAAAGCUGGGGGAGCGAACCGGAUUAGAUACCCGGGUAGUCCCAGCUGUAAACGAUGCAGGCUAGGUGUUUGGGCGGCCACGUGCCGCUCUAGUGCCGCAGGGAAGCCGUUAAGCCCGCCGCCUGGGGAGUACGGCCGCAAGGCUGAAACUUAAAGGAAUUGGCGGGGGAGCACCACAAGGGGUGAAGCUUGCGGUUUAAUUGGAGUCAACGCCGGAAAUCUCACCGGGAGCGACAGCAGUGUGAAGGCCAGAUUAAAGGUCUUGCUGGACGAGCUGAGAGGAGGUGCAUGGCCGUCGCCAGUUCGUGCCGUGAGGUGUCCUGUUAAGUCAGGCAACGAUCGAGACCCGCGUCCUCUGUUGCUACUGGUCUUGCGCCAGGCACACUGAGGAGACCGCCGCUGACAAAGCGGAGGAAGGAGCGGGCCACGGCAGGUCAGUAUGCCCCGAAUCUCCCGGGCCACACGCGAGCUGCAAUGGCAGGUACAAUUGGUUCCGACCUCGAAAGGGGAAGGCAAUCCCGAAAGCCUGCCGUAGUUGGGAUCGAGGGUUGAAACCCAUCCUCGUGAACAUGGAAUCCCUAGUAAUCGCGUGUCACUAGCGCGCGGUGAAUACGUCCCUGCUCCUGGCAAGAAUAAUCACUAGU
rnacentral:rRNA from 1 species